ACAGGAAAGGGCCCUGACAAGAGGAUGGGACUGCAGUUGUGGCUGCCAGGUUGGAGUGCAGUGGCACGAUCUCGGCUCAGUGCAACCUCCGCCUCCUGAGUUCAAGUGAUUCUCCUGCCUCAGCCUCCCUAGUAGCUGGGAUUACAGGACAAGGAGAGGGACAAAUUCCUUCUUGGCAUCCUUAUGGCCCUGUGACCUGCUAAUGAAUGCUGACUCUGAGUUGCUACUAGAAUUUGGUUUCCUUGUGGCUUCCCAGGAAUUGGUCUCACUCUGCUCACUCUGUCUCCCAAGCUGGAGUGCAGUGGUACAGUCACGGCUCACUGCAGCCUCCACUUCCUGGACUCAAGUGAUCUUCUCACUUCAGCCUUCUGAGUAGCUGGGACUACAGGUAGACCCAGUGUAAUCACAAGCAUCCUUGUAAGUGGCAAAGAGGCAGAGGAGACAGCGCCAGAGAGGCAGCUGCAUGAGAAGGAUCAAGAUGUUGCUGACUUUGAAGUUGGAAGAAGAAGGCCAUGAGCCUCAGUAUGUGGGCGGCUUCUAGAAGCUGGAAGGGGCAAGGAGAUGGAUUUGACCCUUCAGCCUCCAGGGGCAGCUGUACCUGCCAUCACUGAUUGUAGCCUGGUGAGGCCUGUUUUAGACUUCUGACCUGUAGAGCUGUAACAUAAUACAUUUGGGUUGUUUUCAACCACUAAGUUUGUGGUAAUUUGUUGUAGCAGCUGUAGAAAAUGAAUACAUAUGAAUCCUCUGGCAUUUGUUUGAGAUUUGCUCUAUGGCCUAGUAUGUGGUUGUAAAUGUUCCAUCUGUGCCUGAAAAAAUGUAUAUUUCUAAUUCAGUAGUCUCUGCUUUUUUUUUUUAUUUUGUACCCCAUCAAUAAAAUGAUUUUCAGCAUGUAUCCCCAAAUAAACAAUAUUUUAUUUAUUGAUUGAUUGAUAAACAGACAUGUUUAAUGAUAGCUUGCUUUUCACAGAGGUGACUUCGGAGACUUCUAAUCUAUAAUCCAGGAGUAUAUAACCAUGCAGCACAGACCAAUUAGUCACAUGUAAAAUAAACUAGAUUCUUACCAC
rnacentral:lncRNA from 1 species